rnacentral:lncRNA from 1 species
UUUUAAUAAUUUAUGGUCACAUAAAAAAGAACGUCAGAUUUCAAGACAAUUUAGUGUUGUCAAAGGAUGUAACUUAUAUCAAUUCAAAAAAAAAGAAAAAAAAAACUUAUAUCAAUUCAGAUUUCAUUUAUGCCGUGGAAUCUGGGUCAUGUGAGAAUGGAGAUAACGUGAGUAGGUGGGCAGAGAAAUACUGUAAAAGUUU